UACGUAGGGAGCAAGCGUUGUCCGGAUUUACUGGGUGUAAAGGGUGCGUAGGCGGCUUUGCAAGUCAGAUGUGAAAUCUAUGGGCUCAACCCAUAAACUGCAUUUGAAACUGUAGAGCUUGAGUGAAGUAGAGGCAGGCGGAAUUCCCCGUGUAGCGGUGAAAUGCGUAGAGAUGGGGAGGAACACCAGUGGCGAAGGCGGUCUGCUGGGCUUUAACUGACGCUGAGGCACGAAAGCGUGGGUAGCAAACAGG
rnacentral:rRNA from 1 species